rnacentral:rRNA from 1 species
CCUACGGGAGGCAGCAGUGGGGAAUCUUGCGCAAUGGGCGAAAGCCUGACGCAGCGACGCCGCGUGUGGGAUGAAGGCCUUCGGGUUGUAAACCACUGUCGGGAGGGACGCGGUACCUCCAAAGGAAGCACCGGCUAACUCCGUGCCAGCAGCCGCGGUAAUACGGAGGGUGCGAGCGUUGUCCGGAAUCACUGGGCGUAAAGGGCGCGUAGGCGGCCCGGUAAGUAGGAGGUGAAAUCUUGCGGCUUAACCGCAAGGCUGCCUUCUAAACUGCCAGGCUUGAGCACAGUAGAGGCAGGUGGAAUUCCCGGUGUAGCGGUGGAAUGCGUAGAGAUCGGGAAGAACAUCGGUGGCGAAGGCGGCCUGCUGGGCUGUGCUGACGCUGAGGCGCGACAGCGUGGGGAGCAAACAGGAUUAGAUACCCUGGUAGUC